CCCCAAUGUUUCCUGUCAGGAUUCCCUCCAUAUUUCACCAAGAGGGCAAUCUGUUACAACAUUGGGAGAUUGAACGCCAUUCUCGACCGUCUUGGAUCUAGUAUCCUUGACCGAUGGGCACCGUUCUGGUCUCCAUCAUGAGUGAGGCUUUGUAUCGAAUGAGUUGAAGGCCAUCUAUGCCUGUAUUUGGCAUUGAUUGUGGUCUUCUUAGUUAUGAUACAUACAUGC
rnacentral:snoRNA from 1 species